rnacentral:rRNA from 1 species
AUUGAACGCUGGCGGCAUGCUUUACACAUGCAAGUCGGACGGCAGCACAGAGAAGCUUGCUUCUUGGGUGGCGAGUGGCGAACGGGUGAGUAACAUAUCGGAACGUACCGAGCAGUGGGGGAUAACUAAUCGAAAGAUUAGCUAAUACCGCAUAUCUUCUGAGGAAGAAAGCAGGGGACCAUUUGGCCUUGCGCUGUUUGAGCGGCCGAUAUCUGAUUAGCUAGUUGGUGGGGUAAAGGCCUACCAAGGCGACGAUCAGUAGCGGGUCUGAGAGGAUGAUCCGCCACACUGGGACUGAGACACGGCCCAGACUCCUACGGGAGGCAGCAGUGGGGAAUUUUGGACAAUGGGCGCAAGCCUGAUCCAGCCAUGCCGCGUGUCUGAAGAAGGCCUUCGGGUUGUAAAGGACUUUUGUCAGGGAAGAAAAGGGCGGGGUUAAUACCCCUGUCUGAUGACGUACCUAAGAAUAGCCCC